rnacentral:rRNA from 1 species
AUUGAACGCUGGCGGCAGGCCUAACACAUGCAAGUCGAGCGGAUGACGGGAGCUUGCUCCUUGAUUCAGCGGCGGACGGGUGAGUAAUGCCUAGGAAUCUGCCUGGUAGUGGGGGACAACGUUUCGAAAGGAACGCUAAUACCGCAUACGUCCUACGGGAGAAAGCAGGGGACCUUCGGGCCUUGCGCUAUCAGAUGAGCCUAGGUCGGAUUAGCUAGUUGGUGGGGCAAUGGCUCACCAAGGCGACGAUCCGUAACUGGUCUGAGAGGAUGAUCAGUCACACUGGAACUGAGACACGGUCCAGACUCCUACGGGAGGCAGCAGUGGGGAAUAUUGGACAAUGGGCGAAAGCCUGAUCCAGCCAUGCCGCGUGUGUGAAGAAGGUCUUCGGAUUGUAAAGCACUUUAAGUUGGGAGGAGGGGCAGUAAGUUAAUACCUUGCUGUUUUGACGUUACCGACAGAAUAAGCACCGGCUAACUCUGUGCCAGCAGCCGCCGUAA